rnacentral:piRNA from 1 species
CAUAGACUGUGAAACAAGUGG